UACAGAGGGUGCGAGCGUUGUCCGGAAUCACUGGGCGUAAAGGGCGCGUAGGCGGCUUUUCAAGCGUGCGGUGAAAGCUCGGGGCUUAACUCCGAGUCUGCCGUGCGAACUGGGAGGCUUGAGUCUGGUAGAGGUCGAUGGAAUUCCGGGUGUAGCGGUGGAAUGCGUAGAGAUCCGGAAGAACACCGGUGGCGAAGGCGGUCGACUGGGCCAGAACUGACGCUGAGGCGCGACAGCGUGGGGAGCGAACAGG
rnacentral:rRNA from 1 species